UGCGCAGGCGGCUUAUUAAGUUAGUGGUGAAAUCUCUCGGCUCAACCGAGAAACUGCCAUUGAAACUGAUAAGCUUGAGUGUAGUUGUAGUAGGCGGAAUAUAGCAUGUAGCGGUGAAAUGCUUAGAUAUGCUAUAGAACACCGAUCGCGAAGGCAGCUUACUAAACUAUCACUGACGCUCAUGCACGAAAGCGUGGGGAGCAAACAGGAUUAGAUACCCUGGUAGUCC
rnacentral:rRNA from 1 species